rnacentral:rRNA from 1 species
GAUACGGCCCAGACUCCUACGGGAGGCAGCAGUGGGGAAUAUUGGGCAAUGGGCGAAAGCCUUACCCAGCAAUACCGCGUGAGGGAAGGAGGUCUUCGGAUUGUAAACCUCUUUGAUCAGGGACGAAGCAAGUGACGGUACCUGAAGAACAAGCCCCGGCUAACUACGUGCCAGCAGCCGCGGUAAUACGUAGGGGGCGAGCGUUGUCCGGAAUGACUGGGCGUAAAGGGUGCGUAGGCGGCUUGGCAAGUUAGAAGUGAAAUACCUAGGGCUUAACUCAGGUGCUGCUUUUAAGACUGUCGGGCUGGAGUGCAGGAGAGGUUAAUGGAAUUCCUAGUGUAGCGGUGGAAUGCGUAGAUAUUAGGAGGAACACCAGAGGCGAAGGCGAUUAACUGGACUGUAACUGACGCUGAGGCACGAAAGUGUGGGGAGCAAACAGGAUUAGAUACCCUGGUAGUCCACACUGUAAACGAUGGAUACUAGGUGUAGGGGAUAUUAAGUCCUCUGUGCCGUCGCAAACGCAGUAAGUAUCCCACCUGGGGAGUACGGCCGCAAGGUUGAAACUCAAAGGAAUUGACGGGGGCCCGCACAAGCAGUGGAGUAUGUGGUUUAAUUCGACGCAACGCGAAGAACCUUACCAAGUCUUGACAUCCUCUGGCGAGUACAGAAAUGUGCUUUUCCUUCGGGACAGAGAGACAGGUGGUGCAUGGUUGUCGUCAGCUCGUGUCGUGAGAUGUUGGGUUAAGUCCCGCAACGAGCGCAACCCUUAUUGUUAGUUGCUACGCAAGAGCACUCUAGCGAGACUGCCGUUGACAAAACGGAGGAAGGUGGGGACGACGUCAAAUCAUCAUGCCCCUUAUGACUUGGGCUACACACGUACUACAAUGGCAGUCAUACAGAGGGAAGCAAAACCGCGAGGUGGAGCAAAUCCCUAAAAGCUGUCCCAGUUCAGAUUGCAGGCUGCAACUCGCCUGCAUGAAGUCGGAAUUGCUAGUAAUCGCGGAUCAGCAUGCCGCGGUGAAUACGUUCCCGGGCCUUGUACACACCGCCCGUCACACCAUGAGAGCCGGGGGGACCCGAAGUCGGCAGUCUAACCGCAAGGAGGACGCCGCCGAAGGUAAAACUGGUGAUUGGGGUGAAGUCGUAACAAGGUAGCCGUAUCGGAAGGUGCGGCUG